rfam:Ferroglobus placidus DSM 10642, complete genome.
GGGCCGGUAGCUUAGCCAGGUAGAGCGCGGGACUCUUAAUCCCGCGGUCGGGGGUUCAAAUCCCUCCCGGCCCG